rnacentral:rRNA from 1 species
UACGUAGGGCGCAAGCGUUGUCCGGAAUUAUUGGGCGUAAAGAGCUCGUAGGCGGCUUGUCACGUCGGAUGUGAAAGCCCGGGGCUUAACUCCGGGUCUGCAUUCGAUGCGGGCUAGCUAGAGUGUGGUAGGGGAGAUUGGAAUUCCUGGUGUAGCGGUGGAAUGCGCAGAUAUCAGGAGGAACACCGAUGGCGAAGGCAGAUCUCUGGGCCGUAACUGACGCUGAGGAGCGAAAGCAUGGGGAGCGAACAGG